rnacentral:rRNA from 1 species
AGAACGCUGGCGGCGUGCCUAAUACAUGCAAGUCGAGCGAACAGAUGAGGAGCUUGCUCCUCUGACGUUAGCGGCGGAUGGGUGAGUAACACGUGGGGCAACCCUGCCCCUGUAGUUUGGGGAGUAACUCCGGGAAACCGGGGGCGUAAUACCGAAUGAAUCAUUUCUUCACAUGAAGGAAUGCUGAAAGACGGCUUCGGCUGUCGCUACGGGAUGGGCCCGCGGCGCAUUAGCUAGUUGGUAAGGUAAUGGCUUACCAAGGCGACGAUGCGUAGCCGGCCUGAGAGGGUGAUCGGCCACACUGGGACUGAGACACGGCCCAGACUCCUACGGGAGGCAGCAGUAGGGAAUCUUCCACAAUGGACGAAAGUCUGAUGGAGCAACGCCGCGUGAGCGAAGAAGGUUUUCGGAUCGUAAAGCUCUGUUGUGAGGGAAGAACAAGUACAGGAGUAACUGUCUGUACAUUGACGGUACCUCAUUAGAAAGCCACGGCUAACUACGUG